ACACUGAGUGUGUGAGCCUUCUUGAAUAAAAUAAAGGUUAAUUAUCCUUUGUUGGAAUUUACCUUUUAUAAUUCAGUGGAAAAUAUUUUUCUGCAAUGCUUUUCUUUUGUAGUUUUUUUUCUUUUCUCAUUCUUAGGUGUAAAUUGCUAUUUCCAGACUUUACCUUGAAAAUCUUUAAAAUGUGUAUAAAAUGUUUAUAAAAAUGUGCAAAAGAAACAGGAAUAAGAGCUAGUAUUUGUAUAGAAAUUUAGAAAAAUGAGAUUUUUUUUAUGCCACUAGUAUUUGUGUAGAUUUAUUGUAUAAUAGAUAGUGUUAUGUUAGUAUUUGGCACAUUUGUAUAUGAUAUAUAUAUAUGUAUGUAUAUGUAUGUGUGUGUGUGUAUAUAAAACAUUGGUAAGAUACUAAAAUAAUGCUUUCUCUGUGUAGGCACUCAGUGAAGAUAUUUCAGUUUAGGCUUUUUAACUGUAUUUGAUCUUUCAUUUCCUAGAAAUUUCAAGUAAAAUUUUGUAUUUAUUGAUCUGGCUAACAUAUGUUGACAUUAUAGUCACCUUUUGAGUGUCACUCAGCUCAGUGUUUACUAUUCGGGGAGAACAGUGUUAAAGUUACAAAGUUCCUGGGCUUUAACUGUUGACUGAAGUCAUGUAUCCGAAAGCAUGCAGAAAACAAUACCAUGUUAGUCAAGCUGCGUCAAGUUACAAACUGGAGGUACAACUGAAAUUACUCUUUAAAAGGUGGGAAUCUUUUUAUCACAUCAUAGAAACUUCAGCUGUUCGCUGAAGCAGGCUAGGGCUCUGCCUUACCCAUAUAUCAGCUUUGUUCCCCUGCUUUCUUCUUCGUGUUGGCAAAGGCAGCUUCGGGCCUUACACACACAUAGUAUUUUCAUAGGCAGGACUGUUUGACAGACUUUUGAUGACUGAAAUGUUCGUCAUCGUCUGGGUUGACCAGUGUAGCCAUUAGUCACAAGUAGCUGUUGUGCUCCAGAACUAUGCUAGUACAGCUGAGAAAAUGAAUUUUUAAUCUUUAUUCAGGUCCAGUUUAGGUAAUCUCACAUUGGACAGUGACUAGCAAAGCACCAGUCUAAAGUGUCAACGAUUAAGUCAGGACACAAACUUCUCGGGAGUUUUCUAAAAUUAUUUAGUUGUACUGAUUUUGAACACAUGCUUCCUCCUACAUCCUCCUUUCAAGUCUAGUCGUGGUAGUGGAGAAGAGACUGAAUGUGCUGAUGAGCUUAUUCUCCUCAAUGUUCCACCAUCGGGAGGUGGUUUAACAGGGACCCAGACAGUAGAGUAUGUGUAUAGUAGUAGACAUAUUCAGUAGAACCGGUUAGACUUUUCAGAAAGGGCCGUCCACAUGUGUAGCACAAAGUAUAGGGCUAGCGAGCUUAAUGACCAGAACAGAUAAGGCAGUGAUGAUUGUCUUGUGUACUCUUGGCACCCCUUGGAGGUAUUUAAAACAUUGGUAAUCAAAUCAUUGUAGAAUAGUCAACAUUUCUAGAGUUAAGUGAUUUACAUGAAGUACUCCCAUACUACCUGUUAUUUAUAAAUCAUUGUCUAGAUAACCUUCACUGUUAAUAAAAUUGAGUGCGUAUUUGAAUUAUUUAUCAAAAUAUCUGUACAUAAGAUUAAUCUGCUAAUCUGUUUUCUCUGCCAAUUAACUUGCCUAUUUGGGCAUUUCAUUUCAAUGAAGUCAUACAAUAAUACAUUCUCUUUUGAAACUUCUUUCACUUAUAUUGGUGUUUUCAAUUCUAAAUUGUAGCAUGUAUCAGGACUUUCCUUAAGGCAGAAUAGUGCAUUUGCUGCUUUGAAAUUUGUGCAAACUGUAUGGGCAUGUGUUUUCAUUUCUCUUGAUGUCUCUAAUGAGAAGUGGAAUUUCCUGGGUUGUGUGGGAAAUUCUGCCUUUAAUUUUUUAAAAAAGAUUUAUUUAUUUAUUUCAGACACACCAGAAGAGGGCAUCUGACCUCAUCACAGAUGGUUGUGAGCCACCAUGUGGUUGCUGGGAUUUGAACUCGGGACCUCUGGAAGAGCAGCCAGUUCUCUUAACCACUGAGACAUCACUCCAGCCCCUUUAAUUUUUUAAUAGCUGUAAAAUUCUGGUUUAUAUCUUAACUGUGAAAAAACAUAUACU
rnacentral:lncRNA from 1 species